GCAUAACGCGAAGAACCUUACCUAGGCUUGACAUGCAUCUCUAAGCACGUGAAAGCGUGUGACCCUUCGGGGAAUUUGCACAGGUGCUGCAUGGCCGUCGUCAGCUCGUGUCGUGAGAUGUUGGGUUAAGUCCCGCAACGAGCGCAACCCUUGUGACUAGUUGCCAGCACGUUAUGGUGGGAACUCUAGUCAGACUGCCCAGAUCAACUGGGAGGAAGGUGGGGACGACGUCAGGUCAGUAUGGCCCUUACGCCUAGGGCUGCACACGUACUACAAUGCCCAGCACAAUGAGAACCGAGACCGCGAGGUGGAGGAAAUCAGCAAAACUGGGCUCAGUUCAGAUUGCAGUCUGCAACUCAACUGCAUGAAGUUGGAAUCGCUAGUAAUGGUACAUCGAGCGUACGGUACGUAGAA
rnacentral:rRNA from 1 species